GAUGAACGCUAGCGGCAGGCUUAACACAUGCAAGUCGAGGGGUAUAUAGGAGCUUGCUUUUAUAGAGACCGGCAAACGGGUGCGGAACACGUACGCAAUCUGCCCUUAUCUUGGGGAUAGCCCAUAGAAAUGUGGAUUAAUACCCAAUAGUAUAUUUGGAUGGCAUCAUUUAAAUAUUAAAGAACUUCGGAUAAGGAUGAGCGUGCGUAAGAUUAGCUAGAUGGUGAGGUAACGGCUCACCAUGGCAACGAUCUUUAGCUGAUGUGAGAGCAUGAUCAGCCACUCGGGCAGUGAGACACGGGCCCGACUCCUACGGGAGGCAGCAGUGAGGAAUAUUGGUCAAUGGACGGAAGUCUGAACCAGCCAUGCCGCGUGAAGGAUGAAGGCGUUCUGCGUUGUAAACUUCUUUUAUCAGGGAAGAAACCACAGAUUUCUAUUUGUGUUGACGGUACCUGAGGAAUAAGCACCGGCUAACUCCGUGCCAGCAGCCGCCGUAACAC
rnacentral:rRNA from 1 species